GACGAACGCUGGCGGCGUGCUUAACACAUGCAAGUCGAACGGAAAGGCCCUGCUUUUGUGGGGUGCUCGAGUUGCGAACGGGUGAGUAACACGUAAGUAACCUGCCCUUGACUUUGGGAUAACUUCAGGAAACUGGGGCUAAUACCGGAUAGGAUCUCCUGCUGCAUGGUGGGGGUUGGAAAGUUUCGGUGGUUGGGGAUGGACUCGCGGCUUAUCAGCUUGUUGGUGGGGUAGUGGCUUACCAAGGCUUGGACGGGUAGCCGGCCUGAGAGGGUGACCGGCCACAUUGGGACUGAGAUACGGCCCAGCCUCGUACGGGAGGCAGCAGUGGGGAAUAUUGCACAAUGGGCGGAAGCCUGAUGCAGCAACGCAGCGUGCGGGAUGACGGCAUUCGGGUUGUAAACCGCUUUCGCCUGUGACGAAGCGUGAGUGACGGUAAUGGGUAAAGAAGCACCGGCUAACUACGUG
rnacentral:rRNA from 1 species